GACGGAGGGGGCAAGCGUUAUCCGGAAUCACUGGGCGUAAAGCGCCCGUAGGUGGCGAUUUAAGUCUGAGGUGCAAGACCCUGGCUCAACUGGAAGAGAGCGUGGGAAACUGAGUGGCUAGAGGCGAGGAGAGGUGGAUGGAAUUCCCGGUGUAGCGGUGGAAUGCGUAGAUACAGGGAGGAACACCGGAGGCGAAAGCGAUCCCCUAGCGUUCGCCUGACACUCAUGUGCGAAAGCGUGGGGAGCGAAUGGG
rnacentral:rRNA from 1 species